AAGUCGUAACAAGGUUUCCGUAGGUGAACCUGCGGAAGGAUCAUUAUCGUAGGGCUUCGGCCCUGUCGAGAUAGAACCCUUGCCUUUUUGAGUACCUUUCGUUUCCUCGGCAGGCUCGCCUGCCAAUGGGGACCACAAAAAAACACUUUGCAGUACCUGUAAUAGUCUGAACAAACAAACAAAAAUCAAAACUUUCAACAACGGAUCUCUUGGUUCUG
rnacentral:misc_RNA from 1 species